GACGAACGCUGGCGGCGUGCUUAACACAUGCAAGUCGAACGGAAAGGCCCUGCUUUUGUGGGGUGCUCGAGUGGCGAACGGGUGAGUAACACGUGAGUAACCUGCCCUUGACUUUGGGAUAACUUCAGGAAACUGGGGCUAAUACCGGAUAGGAGCUCCUGCUGCAUGGUGGGGGGUGGAAAGUUUCGGCGGUCGGGGAUGGACUCGCGGCUUAUCAGCUUGUUGGUGGGGUAGUGGCUUACCAAGGCUUUGACGGGUAGCCGGCCUGAGAGGGUGACCGGCCACAUUGGGACUGAGAUACGGCCCAGACUCCUACGGGAGGCAGCAGUGGGGAAUAUUGCACAAUGGGCGGAAGCCUGAUGCAGCAACGCCGCGUGCGGGAUGACGGCCUUCGGGUUGUAAACCGCUUUCGCCUGUGACGAAGCGUGAGUGACGGUAAUGGGUAAAGAAGCACCGGCUAACUACGUG
rnacentral:rRNA from 1 species